rnacentral:rRNA from 1 species
UACAGAGGUCUCAAGCGUUGUUCGGAUUCAUUGGGCGUAAAGGGUGCGUAGGCGGCGCGGUAAGUCGGGUGUGAAAUCUUGGAGCUUAACUCCGAAACUGCAUUCGAUACUGCCGUGCUUGAGGACUGGAGAGGAGACUGGAAUUUACGGUGUAGCGGUGAAAUGCGUAGAUAUCGUAAGGAAGACCAGUGGCGAAGGCGGGUCUCUGGACG